AUUGAACGCUGGCGGAAUGCUUUACACAUGCAAGUCGAACGGUAGAGGGGGCAACCCCUUGAGAGUGGCGAACGGGUGAGUAAUAUAUCGGAACGUGCCCAGUCGUGGGGAUAACGUAGCGAAAGUUACGCUAAUACCGCAUACGAUCUAAGGAUGAAAGCGGGGGGACUCGCAAGAGCCUCGCGCGAUUGGAGCGGCCGAUAUCAGAUUAGGUAGUUGGUGGGGUAAAGGCUCACCAAGCCAACGAUCUGUAGCUGGUCUGAGAGGACGACCAGCCACACUGGAACUGAGACACGGUCCAGACUCCUACGGGAGGCAGCAGUGGGGAAUUUUGGACAAUGGGACGCAAGUCUGAUCCAGCCAUUCCGCGUGCAGGAUGAAGGCCCUCGGGUUGUAAACUGCUUUUGUACGGAACGAAAGGUUUCUAUUAAUACUAGGAGCUCAUGACGGUACCGUAAGAAUAAGCACCGGC
rnacentral:rRNA from 1 species